AUCCCCUGCGAUUGUCUGCCGUGUCCAUGAUUGUCUCCACCUGUGUCCAACCACCUGCACCUUCCCAGUUUAAGCCAUGUGUGUCUCUUGUCGAGUCAUUGAAUGUUCAACCAAAUGUAAAUCUCCAAGCCCUGAAUGUCUACCCUGAACCUCGUCCCUGGAUUGUUCCUGCUUCCAGCCACGCCACCCCGGCCCCUCCGGGCGCCGGAUCACACUGGGAGCGGGUGAUGGAGCUGUCGGCCCACCUCCAGGCCACCUACUCCCUCCCGUCCCCUGGUCCUCUCCCUCCCGCCCUGUAGUGUUUCGAGGGCCGUCUGGAAUCCGGUCCUUGAGGAGGGGGUCCUGUAGCCGGCGUCCCAGUGUCCGGCACCCAGUGUCCUGCAGCCGGCGCCCCGACCCUGGCUCCCUGUGUCCUGCAGCCAGCGCCCCCGAGCCCGACUACCAUGUUUGUAGGCAACAUUAUUCCUGUUUCAUAAGAAAAAGGCUGUUAUUUAUGUAGAGGAGCCCACCGUUUGCCAACUUUGUCCGAUAUUCGGACCCAGAAACAGACCAAACGACUUGCAGGAGGAGGAUGUUUGUAGUUCUGCCGCCUACAUUUCGGCUAAAGUGUCAUCGCUGCAGUUAGCCUCCGAUGUCCUGUUGUUCAAACUUCAGUCUAAGUAUUCAGAUGACGUUUUAUAAGCAGUACUCCGAUGUUUAUAAGUGAACGAAGGUAAACACGAACCUCUGGUGAGUCACUGUGUUCCUCUCUUAAUGAGCACUUAGUGAAGACAAACAGGGAAACCACUCAUUGGUGUGAUAGAGGGAUACUACUGUAUGUACUGUAAAAAUCUCGUUUCUCAAAAGAAAUAAUAGAAAAUUAAAUUAGUUUCACAUCCUUUAUGGUAAAGAGAACUUUGUUUCUGGCUUUUUACGAGUCGUUCCUCCCAGUCUGUUAAUUGGAAUUUGGUUAAUCUUGUAUUCAGUCAUUUGACAGAUUUGUUGUUGAUGUAAAGAAUUCUCAAGAUCCA